GGAUGUGGUUCAUUUCUUUGCUGUGAGUGUAGCUGUGAAACCUGCUACACUGGAUCUGCUUUACUUUAGGUCAGGUUCAUGUAAUGUUAUUUAUUUAUACCUUGUCACAUGUUAAAACAAAUGUAGGUUGUUGUUGCCCAAGGUGCUAAUUAGAAGAGGCGUAAAGGAAUCUUGUACUAAGUGAUUUUCUGCCAAUAGUAAACUUGAGACUAAAGAAAGUAUCAACAUAUAACAUGCAUUAAAAGAAACCUUUUGACCUUCAGUAUUUGUCAAAUGUAAAUGAAAGCAGAGCACUAUAAACCAGAUUAUUUAUAAAUCGUCAUCAUGUUGCUUAGCAAUCUGCCUGCUAAACUGACCAAUUUUCUGGACAAUUUUAUUUCUGUAUGUCUUAUAUAUUAUGACAUCAUCGUGUUGCCUAGCAAUAAACUGGAAUCACAGGCCAAACAAUACUGUAGCAUGGGCAUGUACUGGUCACCACCAUAGGCAAUUUUUAGUUCAGUUCUUGCUUUGUGUGACUGUAAAGCACAUUCAGUUUCAUUUUUAUGCAUUUGUUCACUAUAACUAUUGUUGGUAUGCUGAAAAACUUGUUGAAGAUGUGCGCACGAAAUAUUCUUGGGUAAGUACAAAAGAACCUGCAAAACAAGUCAGAGCCACGCCAUCAGCCGAUAAAUGGUAAAAUAAUCCACCACCACUACCUGAAAGUCAGUCAAGCGGUGUCAGCUGAGGUUGCCUUGUCCUGUCUGAUCUCUUCAAGUAAAGCCGUGAAUAAAUCUCAAAAGAGGAAAGCAUCAAGAUGGCGAGCGGUGAAGACACAGCUGCCCCUCCAUUUAAUGGCAAUGCUGACCAGACUGAGGAAGACUCAAGCCAAGACGAAACAGAGGAACAAACUGUAGAAGCUUUACAAGAACAGCUUUGUGAAAAAGAUAGAGAGAUCCAGGUGUUGAGAGAGAUCCUCGCAAUGUCACAC